UAGAAACUUAGGUUAGUUUAAACCGAA
rnacentral:tRNA from 1 species